GAGAGUGCAUGAGUCCCGGUGGGCUCCACGGUCUUCAAAACCGUUGACGGGGCGUAGUACGUUCCGAGGUGGGUUCGACUCCCAUGCACUCUC
rnacentral:tRNA from 1 species